rnacentral:rRNA from 1 species
UGUGAACUCGAAGAGUAGGGCGGGACACGUGGUAUCCUGUCUGAAUAUGGGGGGACCAUCCUCCAAGGCUAAAUACUCCUGACUGACCGAUAGUGAACCAGUACCGUGAGGGAAAGGCGAAAAGAACCCCGGCGAGGGGAGUGAAAAAGAACCUGAAACCGUGUACGUACAAGCAGUGGGAGCACCUUUAUGGUGUGACUGCGUACCUUUUGUAUAAUGGGUCAGCGACUUAUAUUCUGUAGCAAGGUUAACCGUAUAGGGGAGCCGCAGGGAAACCGAGUCUUAACUGGGCGUUAAGUUGCAGGGUAUAGACCCGAAACCCGGUGAUCUAGCCAUGGGCAGGUUGAAGGUUGGGUAACACUAACUGGAGGACCGAACCGACUAAUGUUGAAAAAUUAGCGGAUGACUUGUGGCUGGGGGUGAAAGGCCAAUCAAACCGGGAGAUAGCUGGUUCUCCCCGAAAGCUAUUUAGGUAGCGCCUCGUGAACUCAUCUUCGGGGG